rnacentral:rRNA from 1 species
AGCGAACGCUGGCGGCAGGCUUAACACAUGCAAGUCGAGCGGGCAUCCUUGUGGUGUCAGCGGCAGACGGGUGAGUAACGCGUGGGAACGUGCCCUUCGGUUCGGAAUAACUCAGGGAAACUUGAGCUAAUACCGGAUACGUGCGAGAGCAGAAAGGUUUAUCUGCCGAAGGAUCGGCCCGCGUCUGAUUAGCUAGUUGGUGAGGUUAUGGCUCACCAAGGCGACGAUCAGUAGCUGGUCUGAGAGGAUGAUCAGCCACACUGGGACUGAGACACGGCCCAGACUCCUACGGGAGGCAGCAGUGGGGAAGAUUGGACAAUGGGGCAACCCUGAUCCAGCCAUGCCGCGUGAGUGAUGACGGCCUUAGGGUUGUAAAGCUCUUUUCUCCGGGACGAUAAUGACGGUACCGGAGGAAUAAGCCCCGGCUAACUUCGUG